AGUCGACGAACCUUCGGGUUAGUGGCGGACGGGUGAGUAACGCGUGGGAAUCUGCCCUCAGGAGGGGGAUAACGGUUGGAAACGGCCGCUAAUACCCCAUAUGCCGAGAGGUGAAAUGAAUUUCGCCUGAGGAUGAGCCCGCGUCUGAUUAGCUAGUUGGUGAGGUAAGAGCUCACCAAGGCAUCGAUCAGUAGCUGGUCUGAGAGGAUGAUCAGCCACACUGGGACUGAGAUACGGCCCAGACUCCUACGGGAGGCAGCAGUGGGGAAUUUUCCGCAAUGGGCGAAAGCCUGACGGAGCAACGCCGCGUGAGGGAUGAAGGCCUCUGGGCUGUAAACCUCUUUUAUCAAGGAAGAAGAUCUGACGGUACUUGAUGAAUAAGCCACGGCUAAUUCCGUGCCAGCAGCCGCGGUAAUACGGGAGUGGCAAGCGUUAUCCGGAAUUAUUGGGCGUAAAGCGUCCGCAGGCGGCCCAACAAGUCUGCUGUUAAAAAGUGGAGCUUAACUCCAUCAUGGCAGUGGAAACUGUUGGGCUCGAGUGUGGUAGGGGCAGAGGGAAUUCCCGGUGUAGCGGUGAAAUGCGUAGAUAUCGGGAAGAACACCAGUGGCGAAGGCGCUCUGCUGGGCCAUCACUGACGCUCAUGGACGAAAGCCAGGGGAGCGAAAGGGAUUAGAUACCCCUGUAGUCCUGGCCGUAAACGAUGAACACUAGGUGUCGGGGGAAUCAACCCCUCCGGUGUCGUAGCCAACGCGUUAAGUGUUCCGCCUGGGGAGUACGCACGCAAGUGUGAAACUCAAAGGAAUUGACGGGGGCCCGCACAAGCGGUGGAGU
rnacentral:rRNA from 1 species